rnacentral:misc_RNA from 1 species
GAUGAAGAACGUAGCGAAAUGCGAUAAGUAAUGUGAAUUGCAGAAUUCAGUGAAUCAUCGAAUCUUUGAACGCGCAUUGCGCCCGCCAGUAUUCUGGCGGGCAUGCCUGUCUGAGCGUCAUUUCAACCCUCAGCCCCCGCUCGCGGGGCGCUGGCGUUGGGGAUCGGCCGUCCUCGCGGCGGCCGGCCCCGAAACACAGUGGCGGUCUCUCGCGGACUCCCCUGCGUAGUAGCACUACCUCGCAGAAGGGACGAGCGGGCUGACCACGCCGUAAAACCCCCCACUUCUCCAGGUUGACCUCAGAUCAGGUAGGAAUACCCGCUGAACUUAAGCAUAUCAAUAAGCGGAGGA